AGGCCCUGGCGGACAAGUGCGACGGGAAUGGCACGGAAUACAGCGUAGGAGAGGAAUGGUGUAACGGAACCAGCGCUGUGACAUGCAGCAGCACUUGCACCGUCGUGGGAGCUACUGGGUCCUCGCUUCAGUGUGAAUCGACGACAGCUGAACCCACAACCACAGUUGAACCCACAACCACAGUUGAACCCACAACCACAGUUGAACCCACAACCACAGCUGAACCCACAACCACAGUCGAACCCACAACCACUGAGGAACC